GAUGAACGCUGGCGGCAUGCCUAAUACAUGCAAGUCGAACGAGAGGAAGGAAAGCUUGCUUUUCUGAAUCUAGUGGCGAACGGGUGAGUAACACGUAGGUAACCUGCCCAUGUGCCCGGGAUAACUUCCGGAAACGGAUGCUAAAACCGGAUAGGUAGCAGACAAGCAUUUGACUGCUAUUAAAGUGGCUAAGGCCAUGAACAUGGAUGGACCUGCGGUGCAUUAGCUAGUUGGUGAGGUAACGGCCCACCAAGGCGACGAUGCAUAGCCGGCCUGAGAGGGCGGACGGCCACAUUGGGACUGAGACACGGCCCAAACUCCUACGGGAGGCAGCAGUAGGGAAUUUUCGUCAAGGGGGGGAACCCUGAACGAGCAAUGCCGCGUGAGUGAGGAAGGUCUUCGGAUCGUAAAGCUCUGUUGUAAGAGAAAAACGACAUUCAUAGGGAAUGAUGAGUGAGUGAUGGUAUCUUACCAGAAAGUCACGGCUAACUACGUGCCAGCCGCCGCGGUAA
rnacentral:rRNA from 1 species